rnacentral:rRNA from 1 species
AACGAACGCUGGCGGCAUGCCUAACACAUGCAAGUCGAACGACACCUUCGGUUCUUGUGGCGCACGGGUUCUUAACGCCUGGGAACUUGCCCUUCGGUUCGGAUUCUCUCCCCGCAAGGGGUCCUACUACCGCCUAAUUUCUUCCGCCCACAGUUUUCUCGCCUUUGGAUGGGCCCGAGUUGGAUUAGCUGGUUAGUAGGGUAAAAGCCUACUAAGGCGAGAAUACAUAGCUGGUCUGAGAGGAUGGUCAGACACACUGGGACGGAGACACGGCCCAGACUCCUACGGAAGGCAGGAGAGGGGAAUAUAGGACAAUGGGCGAAAGCAUGAAGGAGCAAUGGCGGGAGAGAGAUGAAGGCCUGAGAGAAAUAAAGCGCUUUUACACGGGAGGAGAAUGACAGUACCGGGAGAAUAAGCACCGGCUAACUACGUG